UGAGGAAUAUUGGUCAAUGGACGAGAGUCUGAACCAGCCAAGUAGCGUGCAGGAUGACGGCCCUAUGGGUUGUAAACUGCUUUUGUUUGGGAAUAAUCGACAUUACGUGUAAUGUUUUGCAUGUACCAUUCGAAUAAGGACCGGCUAAUUCCGUGCCAGCAGCCGCGGUAAUACGGAAGGUCCAGGCGUUAUCCGGAUUUUUUGGGUUUAAAGGGAGUGUAGGCGGUUGGUUAAGCGUGUUGUGAAAUGUAGAUGCUCAACAUCUGACUUGCAGCGCGAACUGGCUGACUUGAGUACACACACCGUAGGCGGAAUUCAUGGUGUGGCGGUGAAAUGCUUAGAUAUCAUGAAGAACUCCGAUUGCGAAGGCAGCUUACGGGAGUGUUACUGACGCUUAAGCUCGAAGGUGCGGGUAUCGAACAGG
rnacentral:rRNA from 1 species